rnacentral:rRNA from 1 species
GACGAACGCUGGCGGCGUGCUUAACACAUGCAAGUCGAACGGAAAGGCCCUGCUUUUGUGGGGUGCUCGAGUGGCGAACGGGUGAGUAACACGUGAGUAACCUGCCCUUGACCUUGGGAUAACUUCAGGAAACUGGGGCUAAUACCGGAUAGGAGCUCCUGCUGCAUGGUGGGGGUUGGAAAGUUUCGGCGGUUGGGGAUGGACUCGCGGCUUAUCAGCUUGUUGGUGGGGUAGUGGCUUACCAAGGCUUUGACGGGUAGCCGGCCUGAGAGGGUGACCGGCCACAUUGGGACUGAGAUACGGCCCAGACUCCUACGGGAGGCAACAGUGGGGAAUAUUGCACAAUGGGCGGAAGCCUGAUGCAGCAACGCCGCGUGCGGGAUGACGGCCUUCGGGUUGUAAACCGCUUUCGCCUGUGACGAAGCGUGAGUGACGGUAAUGGGUAAAGAAGCACCGGCUAACUACGUG